rnacentral:piRNA from 1 species
UGGUGAAUGUAAGUGCCCUGGCUAGG